GAUGAAGAACGUAGCGAAAUGCGAUACUUGGUGUGAAUUGCAGAAUCCCGUGAACCAUCGAGUCUUUGAACGCAAGUUGCGCCCGAAGCCACUAGGCCGAGGGCACGCCUGCCUGGGCGUCACACGUCGUUGCCCCCCCCCCAUCUACUCCUUCGGGAUUGCGGGGGGCGGAUGGUGGCCUCCCGUGCGCCUAGCCGCGCGGUUGGCAUAAAUACCAAGUCCUCGGCGACGCACGCCACGACAAUCGGUGGUUGCGAAACCUCGGUUGCCCGUCGUGUGCGUUCGUCGCGCAUCGAGGGCUCGAAAAAAUGCUCGGCUCCGGCUCGGCUUUCAACGCGACCCCAGGUCAGGCGGGGUUACCCGCUGAAUUUAAGCAUAUCAAUAAGCGGAGGA
rnacentral:misc_RNA from 1 species